rnacentral:rRNA from 1 species
GGAUGCGAUCAUACCAGCACUAAAGCACCGGAUCCCAUCAGAACUCCGAAGUUAAGCGUGCUUGGGCGAGAGUAGUACAAGGAUGGGUGACCUCCUGGGAAGUCCUCGUGUUGCAUUCCC